CGCCGCGCUACGGGAGCUUGAUGGAGCCGAGCCGGACGGAGGCGGGGCCAGAGCGAGGAUUCCGUGGGAGCGCUGAGGUGGGGCCCUGCCCCGGGGACCGGGGGCGAGCUCUCUCUCCCCGGAUGCGGAUGGAGACCAAGCAAGAUAUUGAAAUGUCUAUGAGUGGGCCUUGCUACAGAUUCACCCAAAGUGAACAUAAAUUUUACUGGAUAAUGUUUGAGACAGGAAGAGAAGAAGACUCUUUCCGAACAAGUCUGUUCAGCUUUAUCUAAGCUUCUUGAUGUUUCUCUCCUCAUUCAUCUAGAUGCUGCUAGAUGGUUCUGCUGGAAGUCAGAAUUUAACAAAAACAGAGCAUCUGAUGUAUUUACACCUUGCUUCAUGGAACAGAUUUAUCAGUGGAAAUAACAAGGAAGCGAUGAGGGGAACAGCUGUAUUGAACUUAAUUUUAACCAACAAAUAUCUGGUUGAUGAUUUACAAGUGACAAAAAUCCUGGGCUAAAGGGAUGAUGUCAGCUGGAGUUAAUGGCUGGCUGGGCACCAUGCUGGACUCUGGAUGAGGAGUGGUGUGUGCAGUGGCAUUGCUCUUCCUUCACAGUGCUCAUUGGCCAUUACUAGGAACAAACACAAAGCUAUAUACAAGUCUGAACAAAGUAGUGGUGUCAAGAAGACUCAUGUCCAGUUGCAAUUUUUAAAAUCUGAAUUUAUUAUUCAAACAUUUUAUUUGUUAACAUGAUUCAAAAUGCAAAAUAUACAAAAAGGAAUGUGAUAGAAAUUAUUAUCUCUGUUCCCCAGCCACUUAGUACCCAUCUCUAUGAGCCACCUAUGUUACCAGUUUCUUGCAAAUCCUCCUAGAAAAAUUCUUUGCAUAUGCAAUCAAAUGUAUUCUUUAUCAAAUCUAGGAUACCAUUGAUUGCAUACAAGAUGGAAUUAUUCUGUUUAUAUGCACUAUAUAUGCUUUUUAUUAUAUAUACUACAAAUAUAGUACAUUAUUAAAAUACUACAAAAGAAUUUUUUUAAAGCCCUGCCAGUUAAACCAUGUCUUGUUGUCAAUUGUACAAUGAAUUCUAACUUCAGAGACAUCUAAAAUGUGAAAAUCUGUGCAUUUUAUAACCAAUAAAAUAUGGUCUAUUUUCUUUCUUUUUUUUUAAUUUAACACAAAAGAUAGUAGCCUAUGUUUUUGAUUCUGUACUGUGCUUGCUUCACUUAACAGUACCUCUUGGAGCUUAUUUUGUAUCUAAGGCGUUUCUUUCUCCUUUUUUAUGUGGGAGCACUAUGAAAAGUGGUGUUUAACCAGUACGUCCGAAGUCAGAAAGUAAAAAAGGAAGGAAUAGGACACUCUUUAGAAAAGAUCAUGAAAAAACAGCAGAGGACUGGAGAAAAAAACCAAUAACCCUAAUUUUGUUUCUUCAAGGAUAAAGAUCUUCAAAUUGGAAAGUGUAGAACAAGUAUCAUGAAGAAAGACUCAAGUUUGCCAUAAAAGAAAGAAAAUACUAAGAUGAUAUGUAGUCAGUUUAUAGAAGUUAAAGUCUCUGAGUGUGCACAAAUACAAACCACAGCACUAAAACACAUGGAUGUGACAAAAUCAUUUUUGAGAAUCACUAUAAAAUAUGAAGGAAAGAAGAGAUGACUAAAGGUUUUUGCACAAGUGAAAAAUGUAGAUUAUAGGAAAUACAGACUGGCAAAGUCAUUCACAAAAAGUUUUAAAAUACAUUAUUAAAAAGAUGGUUUAUUUGCAUUUAAAAAUAAAAAUGUCAUACUAUUUUUAAAAUUUAAAGAAAAAGGAGGUAAUUAAAAGGCCCCAGAAUAGGUUUGCUAGAAAUCUUAUGUCACAGCCAGGUUGUGGCUAUGGUGUGGGGGAAAGAACUAAAGAGACGCUUGUUUUGCCAGCAAACUAAAUGACUGCAUCCUGUCAACAGUCAAGUGACUAUUCCCUUCACCUGUGCUCUGAGUGACCUAUGAAGAACAACAAGUAUGCAUUGUGUGUCAACUACACUCAAAAGAGAUUCCCCUUCUAAAAAAAAAAAAGAAAGAAAGAAAGAAAGAAAGAAAGAAAGAAAGAAAGAAAGAAAAAGAAAGAAAGAAAGAAAGAAAGAAAGAAAAAGAAAGAAGAAAAAAAUGAACAACAAGCAUAAUUGGGUAAAAAUUGGAAUUGAAAUUGAAUUCAGAUCCUCUCUCUGAUACUACCUAGUGACCUUGGGCAUGUCAGUUCAUCUUAUUUUUCUUUCUCUAAGGAGAUUACAUUUAUUAACUGCUAAGUUUCUUCUAGUGAAUUAUAUUUUAUAACCUGGUUGUAACUGUAUUAGAUAAAAUAUAUAUUUUAACUAUAAUCCGGAGAAUUUGGAAGAUUUGGAGUUUGUUGAUGUAAGCAAAAUGUCUGAUGUCUGUCAUGAAAUCUUUGUGGAAGUGAUGAAGAAAUGUGUAUUAGAUUUCCCCAUAGUUCCAGUCAGACUGGCAUUUCUACACCCUGUGUUGAUUGAUAAAUCAAAUCAUAAGAUUGGGAGAAACAGGAUACAAAAUCAUCUCAUACUACUUGAAAAAAAAUCUCUGAGAUCAGUAAAAGGAAAUUUAAUAAAAUUGUCCUUGAACUCCUCUAUUUCUAACAGUUUGGAGGUUCCUCAAAAAAUUAAACAUAGAGUUGCCAUAGGACCUAGCAAUUCCACCGUAGAUAUAUAUCCAUGAGAAAUGGAAGAUGUGUUCAUAU